CUACGUAGGGGGCGAGCGUUGUCCGGAAUGAUUGGGCGUAAAGGGCGCGUAGGCGGCCCGGUAAGUCUGGAGUGAAAGUCCUGUUUUUAAGAUGGGAAUUGCCUUGGAUACUGUCGGGCUUGAGUGCAGGAGAGGUAAGUGGAAUUCCCAGUGUAGCGGUGAAAUGCGCGGAGAUUGGGAGGAACACCAGUGGCGAAGGCGACUUACUGGACUGUAACUGACGCUGAGGCGCGAAAGUGUGGGGAGCAAACAGGAUUAGAUACCCUGGUAGUCCACACUGUAAACGAUGAAUGCUAGGUGUAGGGGGUAUCGACCCCUUCUGUGCCGCAGUCAACACAAUAAGCAUUCCGCCUGGGGAGUACGGCCGCAAGGUUGAAACUCAAAUGAAUUGACGUGG
rnacentral:rRNA from 1 species